UGCUCGGCAGGCACCUAGGACAGUUA
rnacentral:piRNA from 1 species